AACGAACGCUGGCGGCAGGCUUAACACAUGCAAGUCGAGCGCCCCGCAAGGGGAGCGGCAGACGGGUGAGUAACGCGUGGGAACAUACCCUUUAGUACGGAAUAGCCUCGGGAAACUGGGAUUAAUACCGUAUACGCCUACGGGGAAGAUUAUCGCUAAAGGAUUGGCCCGCGUUGGAUUAGCUAGUUGGUGAGGUAAUGGCUCACCAAGGCGACGAUCUAUAGCUGGUCUGAGAGGAUGAUCAGCCACACUGGGACUGAGACACGGCCCAGACUCCUACGGGAGGCAGCAGUGGGGAAGUAUUGGACAAUGGGCGAAAGCCUGAUCCAGCCAUGCCGCGUGAGUGAUGAAGGCCCUAGGGUUGUAAAGCUCUUUCGCUAGAGAAGAUAAUGACGGUAUCUAGUAAAGAAGCCCCGGCUAACUUCGUG
rnacentral:rRNA from 1 species